UACGUAGGUGGCAAGCGUUGUCCGGAAUUAUUGGGCGUAAAGCGCGCGCAGGUGGUUCCUUAAGUCUGAUGUGAAAGCCCCCGGCUCAACCGGGGAGGGUCAUUGGAAACUGGGAGACUUGAGUGCAGAAGAGGAGAGUGGAAUUCCAUGUGUAGCGGUGAAAUGCGUAGAUAUAUGGAGGAACACCAGUGGCGAAGGCGGCUCUCUGGUCUGUAACUGACGCUGAGGCUCGAAAGCGUGGGGAGCAAACAGG
rnacentral:rRNA from 1 species